rnacentral:rRNA from 1 species
UACGUAUGUUCCAAGCGUUGUCCGGAUUUAUUGGGCGUAAAGCGAGCGCAGGCGGAAUGAUAAGUCUGAUGUGAAAGCCCACGGCUCAACCGUGGAACUGCAUCGGAAACUGUCAUUCUUGAGUGCAGAAGAGGAGAGUGGAACUCCAUGUGUAGCGGUGGAAUGCGUAGAUAUAUGGAAGAACACCAGUGGCGAAGGCGGCUCUCUGGUCUGCAACUGACGCUGAGGCUCGAAAGCAUGGGUAGCGAACAGG